UGGGGAAUAUUGGACAAUGGGGGCAACCCUGAUCCAGCCAUGCCGCGUGUGUGAAGAAGGCUUUCGGGUUGUAAAGCACUUUCAGUGAGGAGGAAAACCUGACGACUAAUACUUGUGAGGCUUGACGUUACUCACAGAAGAAGCACCGGCUAACUCCGUG
rnacentral:rRNA from 1 species